rnacentral:rRNA from 1 species
UGGGGAAUAUUGGACAAUGGGCGCAAGCCUGAUCCAGCCAUGCCGCGUGGGUGAUGAAGGCCCUAGGGUUGUAAAGCCCUUUCGGCGGGGAAGAUAAUGACGGUACCUGGAGAAUAAGCCCCGGCAAACUUCGUGCCAGCAGCCGCGGUAAUACGAAGGGGGCUAGCGUUGUUCGGAAUUACUGGGCGUAAAGCGCACGUAGGCGGAUUGUUAAGUCAGAGGUGAAAUCCCGGAGCUCAACUUCGGAACUGCCUUUGAUACUGGCAAUCUCGAGUCCGGAAGAGGUUAGUGGAAUUCCCAGUGUAGAGGUGAAAUUCGUAGAUAUUGGGAAGAACACCAGUGGCGAAGGCGGCUAACUGGUCCGGUACUGACGCUGAGGUGCGAAAGCGUGGGGAGCAAACAGGAUUAGAUACCCCAGUAGUCCCUGAGCGGGCUGGCAAGGCGCAU